rnacentral:rRNA from 1 species
UACGAAGGGGGCUAGCGUUGCUCGGAAUCACUGGGCGUAAAGGGUGCGUAGGCGGGUCUUUAAGUCAGGGGUGAAAUCCUGGAGCUCAACUCCAGAACUGCCUUUGAUACUGAAGAUCUUGAGUCCGGGAGAGGUGAGUGGAACUGCGAGUGUAGAGGUGAAAUUCGUACAUAUUCGCAAGAACACCAGUGGCGAAGGCGGCUCACUGGCCCGGUACUGACGCUGAGGCACGAAAGCGUGGGGAGCAAACAGG